GUCGUUUGGUCUCUUGCGGUGCGAGAGGGCGCCGGCCAGGUGGUGCAGGUGGCCGAUGGCGCCGGCAGCGCACACGGCCCCGGCGGGAGUCUGGUAGCAUGCGUGGCCGUCCGUCGUCGUUCGGAUCACCCGCCUACAGCCCGACUCUCUCUACGUGUGGCUGGUCUUGGCUGUUCGGCUGGCCGUGAUUUCGUUCGUUCUUCAUCUGGUGUUUCAUGAUUGGAUGUAGGAUUCGGCGGCGACCGUACGAGUGCGCCGUGGCGUUGUUUGCCACUGCCGCCACUGCCUGGAUUCGCUCGCCGGCAUCUGGAACCGCCCCAUGGAUUCGUCUCGCCGGUGCUUGGAGUCUCCGCGCCGGCAGCAUGGUAUCCCCUCCACCUUCCCAUUCCAUGCUCUCCUCCCGUCCGGUCCUCCCGCGCUUGCUGCCGCGUGUGGCGUGCGUGCCUGUUUGCUGUGCCUGUGUACGUAUUUGUUCUGUGCUUGUGUGCGUGGUUGCUAGCUGCUGUUGGGCACCGGGCCAUGGCCUCUGCUGUACGCAACUAUGAUUUGCUAAAGAAUGCAGUUUGCUUGCUACUGACAUGUUGAUGUUGCUGCCAGGGAGAAAUAGACAUGGCAUCCGCGGGUCAAUUUUCAGUUGAGAGGCUGGGAAACACCAAGCAUAUAUCAUUUGUCGCAUGAGGAUUGAGUAAAUUGAUGAUCAUUCAGUCAUCAAGGAGACGACAACUUGAUGAAAAGAUGCAUUGGAUGCAGCAUAUGGGGCAGUAUUUUGAUCUCAUCUGAUGCAUGUAUUUAUUAUUUGUCUUUAUAACAUGGCAUUUUAUUAAUUAUUCAUCUAUACUUGAGCGUAUCGCUGUAUUGGUGAAUUGUCGUAUCCCGUGUCGUCGUACCCUUAUCACGGCAUCCAUGUUGCCGUAUCGCUGCUUCAUAGAGGAAAAUGGAGAUGCUGAACUUCUGAAUGAUGUUGGCAUGGUACCAAGAAUAUAAAUAUUGGGUUGUUAAAUUAUUGUUCGGCUGGGAUCUUUAGACGAGGAUUCUUACCUUGAUACAUAUCCAACACCUUUUGUUGCUUUGUACUCCCUCCGGUCCUUUUUACUCUGCAUUUUAGGUUUGUCCGAAGU